rnacentral:tRNA from 1 species
AGUUAUUUGUUUUGGAAAUAAAUAAUUUUGAAAAUUAUUAAAAAGCGUUCAAUUCGCUUAAUAACUA